UGCUGCCCUGCAGCUCUGAGGAAUGCUCUGACUCCCCUGAUGUCCUCUGUUCCUCAGGUGCUGGG
rnacentral:miRNA from 1 species